AUUUUUAUUAUUAAAUUUAUAAAUUUAUUAUUAUUAUAUAUUUUAAAUAAAAUUAUAUAAAAAAAUAUUGUUAUUAAAUUAAUUAUUUAAAUUAAAAUUUAAUAAUUUAUAAAAAAAUUUUUAAAGUUAAAUUAAUUAUUUUUACCUUUUGUAUCAGGGUUAAUUAAAAUUUUUUAUUUAUUUUAAAUUUUUCGAAAUUAAAAUAUUUAUAUAAAUAUAUAAAUUAAAAUAACAAUUUUAUUUAAAAUUUUUAUAUAAAAAUUAAAUAUUAAUAAUUUUAAAUAUAUCUAAUUAUUUAAUAAAUUAAUUAAAUUAAAAUUUAAUAUAUAUAUAUAUAUAUAUAUAUAUAUAUAUAUAUAUAUAUAAUAAAUCAUAAUUUAGGGAUAAACUAAAAUUAAAUUUAAAAAUUAUUUUAAAAUAAUAUAAAUAUAAAAUUAAAAAUUUUUAUAUUAAUAAAUUUAUAAUAAUUUAUAAUUAAAUUAUAAUAAUUUAAUUAAUUUUAAUAAUUUAUUAAAUUAAAAUAAUUAAUAAAAAAUUAUUUUAAAUAAUGAUUAAAUUAGUAAUAUAAAAAUAUUUUUAAAAUAUUUAUAAAUAAAUAAAUAAAAAGAAUUAGGCCAAAUAUUAUAUUUUCAAAUGUUUAUCCAAAACCUUGCCUUAAGUUAAAAAUUUAAAGUAAAAUCUGCUCCAUGAAAUUUUAAAUAGCUGCCGUAUUUAUAACUGUACUAAGGUAGCCUAAUAAUUAGUUUUUUAAUUGAAAACUAGAAUGAAAGAUUUAAUGAAAAAUAAACUGUUUUAUAUUUAUAUAAUAAAAUUAAAAUUUAAGUAAAAAUUCUUAAAUUUUAUAAAAAGACAAGAAGACCCUAUAGAAUUUUAUAAAAAUUUUUUAAUUUUAAAUUUAAUAACAAAAUAUUAUAUAAUAUUUUAUUUAAUUGGGGAAAUUUUAAAAUUUAAAUAAUUUUUAAAUUUUAUAAACAUUAUAAAUGAAAUUAAAUAAUUUAAUUUAAAUAUAAUAAAAUAAAUUACCUUAGGGAUAACCGUAUAAUUUUAUUUUUUAGUUCUUAUAAAAAAUAAAUUUUAUAACCUCGAUGUUGAAUUAAAAAAAAAUAAAAAGAAAAAAAUUUAUAUAAAAAGUCUGUUCGACUUUUAAAAUUUUACAUGAUUUGAGUUAAGAUCGGUGUAAGCCAGAUCAGA
rnacentral:rRNA from 1 species